AAGAAGAAUAAGAAGAAGUGCAAGAGAGAAAGGAUAAAGCAAACACAAUGUAAGGCAAAAAUGCUAGUUAAAUCGAAGGAUGGGCGGUGGGAAGUAACCCACUUUGUCCGUGAUCAUAAUCAUUCUUUGGUCGCCAAGCCUUCGCUAUCCAAAUACUUGCGAUCUCACAUGGGGAUACCAUCGGAGGAAAAGAGGUUCCUAGAGAUACUCCACAACUGCAACCUAACUUCAGGUGGUCUCAUUCACCUCCCAAAAACUUCAAACUUCAAACUAUAUUGUUUAAUUUUGCUCUGUCAAGUGUGCAACUAG
rnacentral:rRNA from 1 species